rnacentral:rRNA from 1 species
AUGCACGCUGGCGGCGUGCCUAAUACAUGCAAGUCGAGCGAACGGACGAGAAGCUUGCUUCUCUGAUGUUAGCAGCGGACGGGUGAGUAACACGUGGAUAACCUACCUAUAAGACUGGGAUAACUUCGGGAAACCGGAGCUAAUACCGGAUAAUAUUUUGAACCGCAUGGUUCAAAAGUGAAAGACGGUCUUGCUGUCACUUAUAGAUGGAUCCGCGCUGCAUUAGCUAGUUGGUAAGGUAACGGCUUACCAAGGCAACGAUGCAUAGCCGACCUGAGAGGGUGAUCGGCCACACUGGAACUGAGACACGGUCCAGACUCCUACGGGAGGCAGCAGUAGGGAAUCUUCCGCAAUGGGCGAAAGCCUGACGGAGCAACGCCGCGUGAGUGAUGAAGGUCUUCGGAUCGUAAAACUCUGUUAUUAGGGAAGACCAUAUGUGUAAGUAACUGUGCACAUCUUGACGGUACCUAAUCAGAAAGCCACGGCUAACUACGUG